AAAUGGAAUUACUAGCACAUCCCUUGGCCCUGUCACAGUGCCCCAUAUCAGAACUAAAUAUGGCCCCUCACCACAGCCUGACCUCUGUGCCCACAGGGUGCCUACACUGAAGUGAGUUGGGG
rnacentral:snoRNA from 1 species